rnacentral:rRNA from 1 species
AGUGAACGCUGGCGGUAGGCCUAACACAUGCAAGUCGAACGGCAGCACAGUAAGAGCUUGCUCUUACGGGUGGCGAGUGGCGGACGGGUGAGGAAUACAUCGGAAUCUACUUUUUCGUGGGGGAUAACGUAGGGAAACUUACGCUAAUACCGCAUACGACCUACGGGUGAAAGCAGUGGAUCUUCGGACCUUGCGCGAUUGAAUGAGCCGAUGUCGGAUUAGCUAGUUGGCGGGGUAAAGGCCCACCAAGGCGACGAUCCGUAGCUGGUCUGAGAGGAUGAUCAGCCACACUGGAACUGAGACACGGUCCAGACUCCUACGGGAGGCAGCAGUGGGGAAUAUUGGACAAUGGGCGCAAGCCUGAUCCAGCCAUACCGCGUGGGUGAAGAAGGCCUUCGGGUUGUAAAGCCCUUUUAUUGGGAAAGAAAAGCAGCAGGUUAAUACCCCGCUGUUCUGACGGUACCCAAAGAAUAAGCACCGGCUAACUUCGUG